UGACUUACUUCUAGAAUCAUUUUAAAAUGCUUUCUAUCCCAGGGUGAGGCUUAUCCAUUGACUUGGGGUGUGCUGCCCACUGAGAUUUCCUCAAAUGCAGGACACUCGACUGCACAAUUUGUGGCAAUGGAGGGCUGUGUUUGCGUUCUCUCCCA
rnacentral:snRNA from 1 species